ensembl:lncRNA
AUUUGUCUUCCCAGAGUUUGUUUUCUCAGCAAUAAUUCCACUUGCUGUCUGUAGAGGGAACCUUGUCUUCAAGCCAAUGCUGCUGCCUGGAGUGACGGCCUCAUCGAAACGUGGCAGCUGGCGGUUCCACAGCGGCUCUCAUCAGGCUACCUGUCAGCCCCCCCACAUCAUCUCCCAAGCGGCUAAAUCCAAACACGUAGGAGGCCCGGUGGGGAGCCAAUAUGUCCAAAGGGCCCAGCGGCUCCGUGCCGUCGUCCUGAAUCCAAAGCUGAAGCGGACAUUCCACAGGCAUAUCAAACCGGAGGUCACAGCUGCACCGCUCCC